AAACAUAAUGAUGAAAAAAAAUUUUAUCAAACAGUUAUCCCUGUCUGAAUGGGUAAUAAUAGGUAACCUCUCAUAUGUUGAUAUUUGUAUUUCUGAUAUGUUU
rnacentral:snoRNA from 13 species